UACGAAGGGGGCUAGCGUUGCUCGGAAUCACUGGGCGUAAAGCGCACGUAGGCGGAUUGCUAAGUCAGGGGGGAAAUCCUGGAGCUCAACUCCAGAACUGCCUUUGAUACUGAGGAUCUUGAGUCCGGGAGAGGUGAGUGGAACUGCGAGUGUAGAGGUGAAAUUCGUAGAUAUUCGCAAGAACACCAGUGGCGAAGGCGGCUCACUGGCCCGGUACUGACGCUGAGGCACGAAAGCGUGGGGAGCAAACAGG
rnacentral:rRNA from 1 species